AUUGAACGCUGGCGGCAGGCCUAACACAUGCAAGUCGAACGAGUGGCGGACGGGUGAGUAAUGUCUGUGACACUGCCUGAUGGAGGGGGAUAACUACUGGAAACGGUAGCUGAUACCGCAUACCAGCAGAUAUGCCCAGCUGGGAUUAGCUUGUGGGGGGGGUAACGGCUCACAAAGGCGACGAUCCCUAGCUGGUCUGAGAGGAUGACCAGUCACACUGGAACUGAGACACGGUCCAGACUCCUACGGGAGGCAGCAGUGGGGAAUAUUGGACAAUGGGCGAAAGCCUGAUGCAGCCAUGCCGCGUGUAUGAAGAAGGCCUUCGGGUUGUAAAGCACUUUAAGUGGGGAGGCGUUACCAGCAGAAGAAGCACCGGCUAACUCCGUGCCAGCCGCCGCGGUAAUAC
rnacentral:rRNA from 1 species